rnacentral:tRNA from 1 species
GGGGAUUUAGCUCAGUGGCAUAAGCGCCUGCCUUACAAGCAGGUGGCGGUUGUGAGUUCGAUCCCUG